AAAUGAGAUAAGAACUCUCAUUUUCUUUUCUUUGUCAUUUUUCAUCAUUUUUUCAAAUUUCCAUCCCUUUUCUUCAUUCCCUUUGAAAACCCAUCCUAUAAAACUUCAUUUAAGCCUUCCUCUUCAUCUUCUCCAUCACCACAAUUCAGAGUUUUGGUUGAUUAGUGAGAGAAAGUUUAGGUAUUUUUUAUUAAUGAAGAUAAAAAAAAAGAAGCUUGAAAUAGGAGCUUCAAGCAAUGGAAAAGAGAGAAUUGAGGAGUAAAGGAGAAAGUGAGCUUUCUCCUAUUUUAUUGAGCUUUUGAGUAAGUUUCAUGGAAUCCCUACUUGCUUUAGAUUAUUCAUUAAUGAAAUGUGUAAUUUAUUAAAUAAA